GAGUUUGAUCCUGGCUCAGGAUGAACGCUAGCGGGAGGCCUAACACAUGCAAGCUGAGCGGUAGAGAUCUUUCGGGAUCUUGAGAGCGGCGUACGGGUGCGGAACACGUGUGCAACCUGCCUUUAUCAGGGGGAUAGCCUUUCGAAAGGAAGAUUAAUACCCCAUAAUAUUUUGAGUGGCAUCACUUGAAAUUGAAAACUGAAGUGGAUAAAGAUGGGCACGCGCAAGAUUAGAUAGUUGGUGAGGUAACGGCUCACCAAGUCGAUGAUCUUUAGGGGGCCUGAGAGGGUGAUCCCCCACACUGGUACUGAGACACGGACCAGACUCCUACGGGAGGCAGCAGUGAGGAAUAUUGGACAAUGGGUUAGCGCCUGAUCCAGCCAUCCCGCGUGAAGGACGACGGCCCUAUGGGUUGUAAACUUCUUUUGUACAGGGAUAAACCUACCCUCGUGAGGGUAGCUGAAGGUACUGUACGAAUAAGCACCGGCUAACUCCGUGCCAGCAGCCGCGGUAAUACGGAGGGUGCAAGCGUUAUCCGGAUUUAUUGGGUUUAAAGGGUCCGUAGGCGGAUGCGUAAGUCAGUGGUGAAAUCUCACAGCUCAACUGUGAAACUGCCAUUGAUACUGCGUGUCUUGAGUGAGGUUGAAGUAGCUGGAAUAAGUAGUGUAGCGGUGAAAUGCAUAGAUAUUACUUAGAACACCAAUUGCGAAGGCAGGUUACUAAGUCUCAACUGACGCUGAUGGACGAAAGCGUGGGGAGCGAACAGGAUUAGAUACCCUGGUAGUCCACGCUGUAAACGA
rnacentral:rRNA from 1 species